GUUGUCCCUGUUGAAAUUCGAGACGGUCAAUGCAUAUUGAGGCGAGCAUAGAAUCUCACUCUCCAUUAAACACAGGCAGUUGACGUCAAUACCCCUCAUCGAGUAUUCAAAAUAGUUUUUAAAUAACUAAGUGUAUCCACCAAUCCAAAUAGAGGAUUAGGUGGGAACUUGACAGCACGCCAUUCGGCUCUGUGGACAACGAAUCCAUUGUUGAGCAGUAUACAUAGGACAUAGGAUAGAAGCCCACAUCUCUCAAAGCCCUGAAAAGCAAACCGCUCCAUCCCUCUGCCUCCCAAUUUUCAGGACACCGACCAGACAUAGCUGACUCAAGUCUUGUGAUUCAUGCUUCUCCUAAACCAGGGUGUGGGCCUUUUGUCAAGAUUGACAGAUUGUUCAUUCAUGCAGUGUUGAACGGGGAGAAGGACUUCAGGAUUGUUUACCUGGUUGGCCAGUAGGGGAUAUAUUGAUGGGCACCUGGUCCACCUUCAUAGCCAGCCCGAAGGAGCCUCUGAAGGACGUGCUGUCUCUCACCACGAAGGUCCCCGGCUCCUUAUCUAUCACUAUGGCCUCAGCUACAAUCACACAGAACAGCCUUAAUUCGUCUGGGCAUGUACAACAAGGCAUCAAAAGCGUUCCACAGGGAUGCUGGCCCAUGUUGACUCCAAUGCUUCCCACAGUUGUGUCAAGUUGGCUGGAUGUCCUUUGGGUGGUGGACCAUUCUUAACCAGUGACAUCAAUAAGGGAUCAUAGCUUUCAUCUGGAUUCACCUGGUCAGUCUAUGUCACGGAAAGAGCAGGUGUUCAUCAUUUUUUUGUUUACUCAGUGUAUACCACACAAGUGUUUUCCUGGGAGGCUAAAGACAGAAGGUUGAAAUUCCUCCACAUCAUGCAGGCUUUUACUUGUUCAAAUGAGUCCCAACCCUCCCUUUUCAAAUACAUCAAGCAAACACUGCGUUCCUGCUGUGAGGGUGAGAAUGCAGUACUUUGCCAUGGAGAAUUUCCCCGGAUAAGUUUGAACUUGUCCCCCAAAAAUUCUGUCUGACUGUAUGAUCUACCCGCCUGUCAGUAACGGCGGGAACCUAUUGAAAUAGAUGAGUCUGUUGCCCCAUGCCACUGAUGUGAGGUGUCCUGUGGUCAGGGUGAGUGAGACAGGCGGGUCACUGUUAUGUAGUGACGAGAGUUAACGUGGAUCGGUGACAAGUACUAAGGGGGAGAUCCAUUGAUGAGUAGGUAGUACCAGUAACUAUAUCCAUCACAAUUACUGUAACCUCAUUCAGUACAUCCCACACCAUUUGUUCUUUGGUUGUUUAAGAAUGAAUACUUCUAUAUAUGGAAUUGUGCUCACUUCUGUUUCAGUUGUUCAGACCAUGUCAGACAGGUACUGUUAAAGGUUGACUGUAUUUAAAGCACCACUGUGUGUCUGCCUCAGAUGUUCUGGGUGUGGUAUGUUUUUUUGUCUGGGCAGUAACCCCAGACAAAUGUACUCUAUUUUGUAACAUUAAACUGAUGUGAA